rnacentral:rRNA from 1 species
CCGCGAUUCGCCCUUCGGGGCGCAGCAGGCGCGAAAACUUUACAAUGCUGGCAACAGCGAUAAGGGGACCUCGAGUGCCAGGAUACAAUCUUGGCUGUCGCGAUGCCUAAAAAGCAUUGCAUAGCAAGGGCCGGGCAAGACCGGUGCCAGCCGCCGCGGUAACACCGGCGGCUCGAGUGGUAACCGCUAUUAUUGGGUCUAAAGGGUCUGUAGCCGGCCGGAUAAGUCUUUUGGGAAAUCCGGCUGCUCAACAGUUGGGCUUUCAGAAGAUACUGUUCGGCUCGAGACCGGGAGAGGUGAGAGGUACUUCAGGGGUAGGGGUGAAAUCUUGUAAUCCUUGAAGGACCACCAGUGGCGAAGGCGUCUCACCAGAACGGAUCUGACGGCAAGGGACGAAAGCUAGGGGCACGAACCGGAUUAGAUACCCGGGUAGUCCUAGCCGUAAACGAUACUCGCUAGGUGUCAGCCACGGUGCGACCGUGGUUGGUGCCGUAGGGAAGCCGUGAAGCGAGCCACCUGGGAAGUACGGCCGCAAGGCUGAAACUUAAAGGAAUUGGCGGGGGAGCAC